ACGGGUGAGUAAUGUAUCGGAACGUGCCCAAUCGUGGGGGAUAACGUAGAGAAAUUUACGCUAAUACCGCAUACGAUCUAAGGAUGAAAGCGGGGGAUCGCAAGACCUCGCGCGAUUGGAGCGGCUGAUAUCAGAUUAGGUUGUUGGUGAGGUAAAAGCUCACCAAGCCGACGAUCUGUAGCUGGUUUGAGAGAACGACCAGCCACACUGGGACUGAGACACGGCCCAGACUCCUACGGGAGGCAGCAGUGGGGAAUUUUGGACAAUGGGCGAAAGCCUGAUCCAGCAAUGCCGCGUGCAGGAAGAAGGCCUUCGGGUUGUAAACUGCUUUUGUACGGAACGAAACGGCUCUUUCUAAUAAAGAGGGCUAAUGACGGUACCGUAAGAAUAAGCACCGGCUAACUACGUGCCAGCAGCCGCGGUAAUACGUAGGGUGCGAGCGUUAAUCGGAAUUACUGGGCGUAAAGCGUGCGCAGGCGGUUAUAUAAGACAGUUGUGAAAUCCCCGGGCUCAACCUGGGAAUUGCAUCUGUGACUGUAUAGCUAGAGUACGGUAGAGGGGGAUGGAAUUCCGCGUGUAGCAGUGAAAUGC
rnacentral:rRNA from 1 species